GGCAGUCAUCCAAGACGAUCGCCUCACCUAUGUGAAUGUGAAGGGAGAUACACCGAAUGAUGUGAGAGCAAGCGAGACCGAGAGAACAUUGGCAAUUCUCAAGAAUAUUUAAUUUUUUGAUCUGCUCUCUCGUCCUUCUCUCAUCGAAAACCGCAUUUUUAGGCGUUUUCGUUCCAAAAUUCGGCACGACGCGUUCGAAAAACUUGGUCCGUGUGCUGUUCGCGAGCUUUAAUCGCAAUCAGACGCAGCUUUUCGCUAGAAACUGCUCGAGAUUACUACUAAGCCAUCGCCACAGCAUUAUGGAUCCUAAUUUGAGACCAGGUUUGUUUUGAAUUUAUCGAUCCGUGAAAAGCAGCGAUGCACAGAUACAGAUGCGGAGCAUAAUUUCUUCCAAUAAAGUUUUGGUUUUACUUGUUUUAUUUUAUUUAUUAGAAUUAAAAUCUUAUUCCCAGUUCAUUCUUAUCAGAUUAUGAGAAUAUUUGGUUGUCGAAACAUGAAAUAUUCUCACAAUCUUAUGAUAAUUUAGUUGGAAAACAUUUUCAUUCGAAAAAGAGAACAAAAAAUUAAAAUCGAGAUUUUUUCUUGAAAAAAAUUUAAUAAAAAAAAGAAAAACAGUGCGGCAAGGUUGCGAAAUUGCGCUCCACCUAAAUUUCUGUGCGAUCCUUAUAUUUCAACAGUAUUUAUAAAUAUAAUUAAAGUAUAUUUCAAUUUCAGUAGCCGUCAAACGCGUGCAAAAACACUGGGACCAACCAAAAAAUGCGACUCCACCGCCUCAACUGACCGUCUACAAUAGUUUGACUCGUCAGAAAGAGGUUUUUGUUCCAAAUGAGGGAGCACGAGUGAGUUUUUCUACUAUUUUCCCAGAAACUAAUGAUAUUUUGCAGGUUGGAUGGUACAUUUGCGGUCCGACGGUCAACGAUUCUUCGCAUAUGGGCCACGCUCGAUCCUAUCUUUCUUUGGAUAUUCUGAGAAGAGUCUUCAGGGAUUAUUUCGGAUAUGAUGUGGAAUUUAUCAUGAAUAUCACUGAUGUGGACGAUAAAAUCAUCAAAAGAGCUCGUCAAAGCCACCUGCUCAAGUCGUACUUCAACGAAUCGCUCCACCUGUGAUGAAAGUGUGCGAGGACGUUGUCGCCGCGCUGGAACAUUUCAAGACGAAAUUCGAAACUGAAAUGGAUCCGGACAAGAAGAAGAUGUUCGAAGUGAUGAUAAAGAAGGUACAGCAGUUUUGCAGGGUAUCUCUCCUUGACACGAGUUCGAUGGACCCCCGAAUCGGUUAUCUGGCCGUCUUGAAAGGUGAACAUUGUGCAAUAUUAUCUUAAUUUUACUAAUUUUGUUUUUUACAGGGCGUGCAAUUGCUGCUGCUCAGGCCUCAGAACUCAACGCAUUCUAAGCUGCUGCAAACGACCUUCAUCGUAUAUCUGCACAAAUCGAAGCGGUUCAGCUCGAAGACGAUAUCCACGUGUAAGUUUUUUUAGAGCCGGGCAAUUGGAUGGGCCUUCGAAACUAUGUGUGAACUGCACAUCUUGCUCAUCUGAGUUAAUGCUCCAUUCAAUUCUCUUAAUCCUAAAAAUAAUUACAUUUGACAUUUGAAACCGUGCCCUGCCUUGCAAGAUCAACAACUCACGCUCAGUUUCGGAGGCGUAGUCAUUGCAAUCUCUCGCAACCGACACUCUUCCUGACUCUUCUUUUAAACUGAUUUCAAUAUUCAAAUUUUCAGAUAUGUUCCACCAAAUCAAAACGGGGUGUUGGAUCGAUUCCGCGAUGCACGACAAACCGCUGCUGGUAAUAAACUAGGUCAUCACAAAAUUUAAUACACUUUCUUACGGAGGCCGCAUUCGCAGCUUGUGCCGCAGCUGCUGGAUUCGCCCAUCAUGCUGAGCCAGCCCAACAGGAGCUCUUCUAUGCCGUUCGGGAGACCAUUUGUCAACGUAUACAAGCUAUGGAACCGCGCCGGGGCGGGCUAUAAAUGAAUCUCAUAUUCGAAUAAACAUUUGUUGAUAGAAUUUUUACCUUGUCUGCACUGACCAUGUGCUUGUACUUGAUCAAUGAAGAGUAUGCACAGGUUAUUGAUUUUUUGCAGCCGCCAUCUAGUUUUCUGUUUUCAGACAAUUUGCACCGCGCUGACGUCAGUGCCGCCGGCUCUUUUUUCGUAUCGAGUUUUGUAAAUCAGAUGACUGAUAAGCAGGGAUAUGUGAGUUUCGAAUUCCACUACGUGACCGCGAAGAAAAAAACUCGGCCACCAACGUAAUACACCGGAUUUUUGCCUCCUUCGUUUGCGCGUAAAACAUGGUGCAUCGAUGUCGGCGUACCGCACGGCCGUAACCACUUCUGGCUUUCUUCACAUUUUGAAAUGGAAGAGUUUGCCGAAUCAGGCCAUUUUGUAUCGGCCACGGCCGGGGAAGGUUUACGGCGCGUUGCGUGUCGCGUCGCGGCUCGGUUUCAGUUGUACAACUAAAUGUAUUUGUCCGUGUGGAGUACACGACUUCUCCACGCGUUGUCAGGCAGGCGAUUCUCAGUGGAGCGCGAAAACUGCAAUGAGGGAGGCCAGAAGCCCGUGCAACCAUAUUUUUCACAGGGUUCUGGCCUGCCUCAUUGAAUUUUUCGCGCUCCAUUGAAACUCCACACCGAGCGCUGGAACAUUUCAAGACGAAAUUCGAAACUGAAAUGGAUCCGGACAAGAAGAAGAUGUUCGAAGUGAUAAUAAAGAAGAUUCAGCAACAAUCAAGUGCGCUGGAAGAAGCCAUGAAGGCUCAGAAGCCAAAGGUCGACUGCUCAAUGAGUCGAGAGAUGUGCUCUCCGAGUGGCUUGAUCAUAAUCAUGGAAAGGAUGUGAGGGAUCAUAGUGUGUUUGAUGAUCUCGCGAAGACGUAAGCUUUUGAUUCAAAAAUCCAGCGAAAAUGGCCUUAAAUUCUGAGAAGAACAGAGAAAAUAGCCGGAAAAAUAGCCAAAAUUCGCUAAAAUCUGAAAAUUUGCCAAUUUAUCUUCGCUGUAGCAACUUGAAUACAGAUUAUAUUGAAUUGUCAUCCUUUAACGCAUAUUUUGAUUAUUUAUAUAGUUUAUUCGUUGAAUUUAUAUUUAGGCUAUUUUUAGACCAUUUAAAGCCGACAUGCACUAAAAAUCGCCGAAAUUGGGUGUCUGUUGGCUUGAAAUGUGCCUAAAUCAACGAAUUAAGCAUUAAAAAGUGAAAAAAAAAUGAUGAAAACUGUAUUCCAGCCGCUGCAACAAGGCGAAGUUGACGAAUUUUCAGAAUUUCAAGUUAGAUUUUUUGUUUUCUACUCUGGUUUUUCUGAAUUUGAGUCUUUUUUUCUUCGAUUUUUAAAUGAAAAUCCCUUUUCCACCCUCAAAAUCAAUUUUUUUUUUCAGCUACGAAAAGGAGUUCCUAGCCGAUAUGGCUCGUCUCAACGUUCUCCCGGUCGACGUGCUCACCAGAGUCUCCGCUCAAGACUCGAUUGCCACUGAAGAAGCCAAAGGCCGUCUGCUCAAUGAGUCGAGAGAUGUGCUCUCCGAGUGGCUUGAUCAUAAUCAUGGAAAGGAUGCGAGGGAUCAUAGUGUGUUUGAUGAUCUCGCGAAACGUAGGAUUUUCUACUUGGCCGGUCCAUUUUUACAGUCUCAAUGGCACCUUGAGUGCUCUGUAAUAUCCUCUAGGUAAUAUUUAUAAUGGAAAACAUGAUUUUCAAAACAAAACAUUGUAAUUUUAUUUUUUUUUUACCUGGAAAUCACUUUCGUAUACGCAAACAACAACAGUAAACGGGAAAAAAAACUUAAAAGUAGGGUUUUUGCUCACGCUUUAAAGGCGCAUUCAAUUUGACAGACUGUGGGUCUCACAACGACUUUGGUAACGGGACUUCUCACCCCCCAUUUUAAUCCCAAAAAUUGUUGGCAUUGGAAACGGUUCCCAGUCUUGCAAGAUCAUCUACUCACGCUCAGUUUCGGAGGCGUAGAAAUCCCUCGCAGCCGACACUCUUCCCGACUCGUCUUUUGCAAUUGGUUUCUGUAAUAUAUAUUUAAAUUUUCAGUGCAGUCCCGGCAGCUCGAAAUAUCGUGUGGAACGACCAUCUGCGAAUUCGAAGAGAUGCUGCUGGUAAUAAACUAGUUCAUCACGAAAUGUAAUUAAUUUUAUUUCAGUUGCUGCUGCUGCUGCUGUCAACAACACAGCUGGACUUGCUGAUAUGGACCAAGGGACCAGGAUCGAGUUACCAAAAUCAAAGCAUCAAUGGUUAGAUGUAUUCAGACGAUAGAUCCUGGCCACGGAGGAAACUGAAUGAUAAUGUUUACACGCGUGAAGUCAGAAAUUCAAUUUUUGUUAUAAACCUGUUAAUUUUUGCUACUUUUUUAUGGAUUGAUUGAACCACACAGCGCCUCAAAUCGGGAGAGAAGAGCGAAGAAAGUGGUUUUAGCGCGGGAGCGCGUUUGCUGCAGACGUCGCACGGAUUGGAAUUAAUGUAUAGCAAAUCAGAGAAAUUUCUCUGGAUUUUAGGGACUUUAAAGCAAUUUUCAACAAGCGGGCCGGCCCAGAGACUGUUCGCGAUGCGAUUUACUUCAUUUUAACAUAAAUUUUUCCCCAAAUAAGCUCGAAAUGAGCUCUGAAUUUCGGCGGUUCUGAACAUUUUUUUAAGAUGAGGGAUUUUGACCUGGUCAAUCAUUCGUCCAAGGGGCGCACUACUGACCCCCUCCCUUUUUUCACUCGUUUUUCUCAUUUUAACUUGAGCAUCUGCCAAGCAGCCUCUAAUAAAUGCCGAGUGUGGCGACUCCGCCCCUUUUUCGCGUUUUUUCGCGUUUUUUUUGGCUUGCGAAAAAAUGUCACACUUCGUUUUCAUUAAUAACUCCAGAGCCGUUUGACUGAAUUUUAUAAUAUUUGACAGCUUACUAGAAAUAUUUCACCCCACGGGGGAGCAAAAAACUGCACAAAGUUUGGAGCAAAACUGAGCUCAGGGCGGCUUUCCCCAGUUUGAAAAAAAUUUUUGUUGCUCUUUUUACCCCCAAAAAACCAUGUUUUAAUUGAAUUAAAGUUCGGGUUUUGCUCGGUUUUGUUCCAAAUUUAUGUGCAUACUACUCAGAGAGGUGGAUUUUUUGAAAGAAAGUUUGAGUUCAUAAGUGCAAAAGGCAAAAAGUUGUGAUAAAACAAAAGGCCAAAAAAAAAAGCCAUUUUGCCAAAAAAAAUUUUUUUUCCGAAAAAGUAGUUUUUCGUCUUUAUCUCAAGUUCUACUUCAUCUUUUUCGAUACUUUUUUUUCUACCCCACGUAAAAAAGUACGCUGAACACGAUUUUCAACUCAGAAUUAAGAAAAGUUUUAUGAGUCGGCCGAGCAAGACGAAUAAGUGCCACAUUUUGCACACUUUCUCAUUUUCGCGAAUCUACUUUUUCAAUCAUAACUCGGUCAGUUUUCAAGUUUUCUUAGUUUUCCAAAAAUUGACGUGUAGGUCUCAUCAAGACGCAUCGAGACAUAUAAAAUUUGUAAAAAGUUCAGUGGGAAAAUUUUUCAAGAAAAAAAUAAUUCAAAAAUUUAGUACUGGGGGGAGUGGUUUCCUGCGUCUCCUGAGCAUUUUUUCACUAAAGUUUUGCGGAAUGUAUUUUUAAUUCAUAGUUUUUGAUUUUAUUUGAUGGAAGAUGAAGUUUCGUCGCAUUAGAAAUACUCUGCCAAGAGAUAUUAUUUUUAUUAAUUUUCAGGCCAAAACUUGUUUUUUUUCUAUACAUCUGUCUGUGUACAAGAUAUAGCCCUCAACUGUACGUCUCCUUUUUGGGAAAUCAAUAAUGAGUACAAUCCUGUAAUAAAAUUUUCAAAAAUUCGUUUUCCCGCUGACAUAUCAGUAAUAAACGGUUUUCGAAUGCCUUUUCUCAAAAUGUAAUUAUUGAAGAAAACGGAAUCGAAAAACGACUCCCUCCAGAAAUUUCCCUUCCCUGCAUCUCCCUGCCGGGUCUCUCCCGCAUGGCCGAGUGGUUAGUGCGUAUGGCUGUGAAUAUUUUGCUCGUUGGCUCGAUUCCCCCAACUGACAAAUUUUUUUUGGGUAAUCGGGAUUCGAAUAGAAAUGCUCGAUUUUAAGCAAAAUAUGAGUGGGUCUCCUCCCAUUGGCUCACUGCAAUUGUCACGAACCCUCUGACAGGUUCGAGGCGAAGCCGAGAACCUACGUCCGACUGGGGGACUCGCCCUACACCCCCUGCAACUGGCGGACCCGCAGGGCCCGCUAGUCGAUUCUCUUUAGUUUUCCUCUGUAUUUCGAACAAAUUUUGUCGAAUUUUAAUGAAAUGUUCAUAAAUAAAAUGUAAAAUAAUCGAUUAGUUCACAAAUUUGUCGAAAUUUCGGCUUUUAUCGUCAUGAAAAAUCACUUUUCCGUAAUAAUUAUAGAAAUUGACGAUUUUGUCAUUUUUUCAAGCCUUUUUAAAACUUUUUCGAGUCUAAUAUUCGCACAAUUUGAUCGAUUUAGCAGAAAAUAAAAAUAAAAAAUUAUGUUUCAUUUCUCCAGUGUCCGUGCUUCUUCUAUCUGUUUCCUUUUCUGUCCGUUCGGGUUUCGGCUCUAUGUUUCCCAAUUUUCUUGUGUUUUUUUUUUAUUAAUUCUUCUCAAUUAUUCAAUUUCAGCUGUAAAGAAUGACCGAGGCGUGGAUCGAGGGGCGGCAACGAUCGAUACGCUUAAGGAGCACUCACCCUUCUCAACUCGCUUCACGCAUCGGCAAGAAUUCAUUUUUUUUUUCAUCACGGAAAUAAUUAUUGAAAAUUUCAGAUUCCGAAUUCUGUGGCUGAAGUGUUGGGUCAGAAAAGUGACUGCCGUCGACAUUUUCAACAGCAACGACUCGGAAAGGCUCGCGUUGAUCGACCCGGAACCGUUACAUCCACAAGCUUGCUGAGAAGAGUACGAUUAACUUCGCGUUGAGGCCAGGUCCUGCUCCAAAUCAUGUGGAUGCCAUAUAUGUCCCCGCCGUUGGAUCCACUCGCGUACGAGUUCAUCGAGUCUCCGAAUCGUUCCCAGUCGUCGGCAAUCGUACGUUCUUCAAAUCGGGCAACGCCGGAAUAGAGUGGAAUCAGUGUGGUCAAGCACUUCUCAUUCUUGCUUCUGUUGAAGUGGAUAAGACAAAUCAAUGGAGAGCAAAGUGUUCGUUUUAAAUUUUUCUCACAUCUUUCUAAUAAUUAAUUAAUUUCAGCUAUACCUUAUCAACAUUCAAUCAAGAGGGUCUGUAGUUGUUGCUUUGGAAAAAAAGCCCAAUUUACGGUGCUAAGUGGAAACCCAACGGCCGAGAAUUCGCUUUUUUUUUCACCAAAAUCAGAAUUUUGCAAAUAAAAGUUGAUUUUAAAGCGAUUAAUUGCAUAAAUGUUUAAUUUUAGAAUUUUUAUUAAUAGUUUGAAUCUUUUUGAAGAGUUUUAGUCAUUAAUUUGACUGAUAACACAGAAAAAUGAUUUUUCUUUACAACGAAAUCUUGCAGAAUUGGUUAAAAAACUUCUAUGAAAUCAAAGAUUUCAAUAGAAUAAAGCUACAAAUCAAUCAAAAUCACUAGAAAUACAAAUAGUUCUGAUCAAAGUUCAAUGUUCCAAUCUACCAAGUGAUCUAUGCCACGCCAAUUUUCUUAUGUAAGUGUUGCUCUCCAAUUUUCCUUAAAAAAUGGCUCAAAUACUCACAUAAAUGAUCAAAUUAACAUUUUUUACAAGUUUGGUGGUAUAUUUUCUUUUCCUUAAUAAGGAACCAUCAGGUUCUUCCUACCCUCUACGGCUCUAGAUACCUCAACUUCGACAACUCCUAUCUACUUGGAGAGGCGAGAUAUCAAAAAGUGAUCAACUGAAAACUUGCAGAGCACAUCAAAAACAAUGACAUUCAAUUUAACCUAUGUUUCUAUCUUUCAAGAUAGGGGAGUUAGACUUACAUUUGUAUUGCAUACUUUUUGUUAUUCUACUGGCUGCUCUCACUCCCUCAUCUUAAGAGAUAAACACAUGAUUUUUAUUAAUUAUUAUAGUUUUUGAUAUGGUCUACAACUUCUUAGUUAAUCACUUUUUGAUAUAUUGCCUCUCUGAGGAGAUAGGAGUUGUCGAAGUUACAGUAUCUAUAGCUAUGCGCAUAUGAAGAAUCAUAUGGAUUCUCAUCAUGCUAUACUACUUAUCAUCUGAUUUUUGUGGGAAACAAUGAUUGAAAAAUGUUUUUUCAAAUGAUAAAACAAGUUUUGAUUUGAUCUGAACAUUUAGUGUUGGUUUAGUGAAGAUCAACUGCCAACUAAACAGUUUCCGUUGAUUUGGGCAUUUUUGAGCAAUCUCAAGAUUUGAAAAAAGAUUUGAAAAAGUCCUUUCUCUAAUUAUCUCAAUUUCCCAUUGUCUCUAGUACAAACCCUACAACGUUCCCACGCUUCGAAAUGUUUAAAAAAGUUCUACGAAAAUCGGGAUUUUUCACCAGUAAAAUUCUAGUAAAAUUCCGAAAAUUCAGCCUUUCCUAGGUUUUUAAAUUUAAGAAUUUCAGAUAUUCCACCACAUUCGCCAUCUUCAUCAGCUUCUUCAUCUCGAACUCCUGGAUUUCCUACAAAAAUCGGAUUUUUUUCCUCUAUGUCAGUUUAAUUUAUGUAAAAUUCCGAAAAUUCAGCCUUUCCUAGGUUUUUAAAUUAAGAAAUUUCAGAUCGUCCACCACGUUCGCCAUCUUCAUCGUUAUCUUCGUCUCCAGCUCCUGGAUUUUGCAGAAAAUUCGGAUUUUUUUCUCUAUGUCAGUCAGAUUUAUGUAAAAAUCCGAAAAUUCAUCCUUUCCAAGGUUUUUAAAUUAAAACAUUUCAGAUAUUUCAUCACCACCAACAUCUUCAUCCACUUCUUCGCCUGAAACGACGGGAUUUUCCACAAAAAUCGGAUUUUUUCUCUUGGUCAGUCAGAUUUAUGUAUAUUUCCGAAAUUUCGCCCCCUAGGUUUUUAAAUUGAAAAUUUUCAGAUAGUCCACCUCCACCGCCUUCUUCAUCCACUUCUUCGUCUCGAACUCCUAGAUUUUGCAGAAAAGGGCGACGCCACCCCACUGCACAAAUUGCUUCCGUUCUCUUAAUAACUUUGUUAAUAUUUAGUUUUUUAAAAGUUUAAUUUAUACAUAAGUGAAUAAUAUUAAUAAUAAAUUGUCUUUCCAAUUUAUAAACGUAUUAUAUUGUCUUCUCUUUGUACUGAUGGUGUGUAGAGUUCAGCUGUGUUCCGAAUCCUGAAAAAAAAAAGUUACGGAUACUUCCAAAUCGACUUGAUUAUUGUCUUUUUCAUUUCCGAGAUCGUAAGGGGUGGCCCUUAUAAUAUUUUGGAGUUAACUGUGCUUUUUUGGAAUAUGAAAAAAAAAACGGUAUUUUUUUUCGAGAAUUUAUUUUUAAUAUUUUUUCAACUUUUUUGGUUAAAAAUUGUCUUCCAAAAUUUGCAAAUUCAGUGCGAAACGAUCGAUUUUCCAUAUAAGAAUAUUAGGAGGCAAGAAAAACUAAAUUUGAAUGCGCGCGCAAAAGGUGUUCAACAGGGCGCAUUUGCUCUCCGAGCUUUCCGGGCGCCACGGUAGCACAGAAACUAGAUCUCUCGUAAAAUUUGAGAAAGAUCUCGCAGGUACGCAGCGAAAUGGUCCGCAAUGUGUCUCGCGGUGUUUGCGUACUUGCGUACCGUAGUCCGCAAAACAUUGCAGCGGCAAAUAGAUUUUUGAAGCAAAUUUUAGCAGAAAAAAGGCAGAAUUACUAGUUUAAAGUGAAUAAAAUUAAAAAAAAAAGAUUUUAUUAUUAAAUUUAUCAACUAACAAUUCAAAAUUAAUGUAUUAAAACACAGAAAAGUUGAUUUUGAACAGAAAAACGGAGUAAUCAUUUAAAAAGACAAUAUUAAAGUGAAAAAACACGCAAAUCGAUUGAAAAAACGAAUUUAAUAUGUGGAAUCGGCCUUCUUUUUCGCUUUUCGGCUGCAAGUUGGAAUUUUUCUUGGGAAAAACUUUCGAAAAUGAGGAAAUCAGUGGGAACUUCUUAAUUUCCUCGACUCCUGGUGAACUUUUUGUGUUAAAUCCAUCGAAAUUGUGCGGAAUAGCUCAUUGACAAGGUUUCAAUCUGCAAUUUGAUGAAAUUCUAUAUUUUUAAAUUAUUUUAAUCACAACAAACCUGAGGAAAUCCCGAAUUCGAUCCUUUCGAUAAAAUCCAGAGAUGUCACUUUGCCACUUUUCCAAAAUGAAGGAAACCAUGUGGAGCUUCUCAGCUUUUUGAGUUCCUGGCCGAAAUCAUGAUGAAAAACUAUCGAAAUUGACUUGAGCAGCUUCUUGGCAAGGUUUUUGUCUGAAAUUUUAAGAUUUUAAUGAUUUUUGAACGUUUUUAACACAACGAACCAAAGGAAAUCCUGAAUUUCACAUUUCUGACUGUUUCCUGGGAUGUUACAUCGGCAGUUUUCCAAAAUGAAGGACAUCAUGUAGAGCAUCUCCACUUAUUGAAAUUCUGGUGAAGUUCUUGCCGACAAAUCCAUCGACAUUACGUUGAACGUCUUCUAGGCAAGGUGUUUAUCUGAAAAUUCAUGAUUUCAUGUACUUCCAUUUUUUGAAAACUUAAAAAAAUUUUACCAGGAAUAUGAGAAAGUGCUAUUUUUAUUGAUUUUUUUUCUCAAUUUAAAUGUUUAGAACACAAUUUCAGAUAAAAUUGAGGCACAGUGAAACUCUUUUGUUCAAAAAACGCAUUCACUUCUAGAGCCUAUAUCUCCGCGGAAAAAAAUUUUAUGACAAAGUGAUCAACUACGAAGUUGUUCAUCUUAAUGUAAAGAACAACUAUGUAGUUGAACAUUUUUUACCAAAAAAAUUGGUGACCAAAAUAUGACCAUGAAAAGAGCAAUAGAAAAUAUGCAUGUAGUUGCCGUAUUUCACCCACUCUUAUCUCAGCCACCAAAUUUUUUGGUGGAAAAUGUUCAACUACAUAGUUGUUCUUUACAUUAAGAUGAACAACUUCGUAGUUGAUCACUUUGUCAUAAAAAUUUUUUCCGCGAAGAUAUAGGCUCUAGAAGUUAAUGGGGUAUUUUGAAUGUAGGAGUUCUACUGCACCAUAAUUUCUCACUUGAUGCUGUUUUUAGUGCAUCCGAACAGAGGAAACAACAAAGUUUGCCUUUUUCUGAAACAUCUAAGCAGUUUUUGAAAAGUUUUCGAAAAAAAAAAGAAUUUCCGUUUUUUGAGAUUUAAUUUUCAGUGAAAAAAAUUUACUUUUGGAAAAUUUCAAGUGAAAAAUGUACGAUUCGUGUAUAUGUUUGCCUUUAUCUUGUAGAGAAUUUUUAGCUGAUUCUAAUUCGGCAAUAAAAAUAUAACAUUUUGUGAUCGUUUUCGAAAAAAAAAUCUUUUUCUUUAUUUUUAGUGCAAAAUUUUAGUUUCGAUAAUUUUUCUAUGAAGAAUGUACGAUUUCUAGAAAAUUCUGCCUGUAUCUUGCUCAAAAUUAACAGUUCUUUCUUUUUAAAGCAAAAAAUUAACACAUUUUGUGAUUUUUUGGCAAAAAAAAUUAUUUUAUAAUUUCUUAUUUCAAAAAAUUUUUUUUCGAAAAAAUCUUAAUGAAAAAUUAAGAUUUCUCUAUGAAUUUAGUUCCAUCUUAUACAAAAUUUAAUGCUGAUCAUAAAACAACUAUAAAAUGUGAAGACUUUUUGAUUUUCUUGAAAAAUGGAACGUUUUUAAAAACUGUUUUCAGUGAAAAAAAUUUACUUUUGAAAAAUUGUGAAAAUUGAAAAAUUGUGAAUAAGUGAAAUAUGUACGAUCUCUCAAUAAUUUUGUCUUCAUCUUGUAGAGAAUUGUUAGCUGUUUCUGAUUCGGCAAGAAAAAUACAACAUUUUGUGAUCGUUUUCGAAAAAAAAAAUUUUUUUCUUAAUUUUUAGUGCAAAAUUUUAGUUUCGAAAAAAAAUUUAUGAAGAAGGUACGAUUUCUAGAAAAUUCUGCUCGUAUCUUGUUCAGAAUUUUUAGCUCUUUCUUUUUCAUACCAAAAAAUAAAAUAUUUUGUGAUUUUUUAAGAGAACUCGUCAAAAAACUCACUUAAUUCGUUUUCCUUGCCGCCCACUUCGACGUUCCUUUGUUUUUCUCGAAUUUUUUCGCUUACUACUUGAAACAAGACACACUCUUUUGAUUUUACAAAAAAAAAUUACAAAAAAGAUACGGAAAAACGGUUAAAAUCGGCAAAAAACGGAGAGAAUCGAUGCCGAGCGAAAGGCUUGAAAUUUAAACGAUUGUUCGCAAUAGAGCGUGUUUACCGCCAUCUAGCGACUGAACCACCGUGGGGCGCAUUAAUUUGAAGUCUGUAAAAACAAUUUGAACAAAUUGUUUUUUUUUGUUUUCUCAAUUUUGAAACAUUUUCGUUUAAAAACGUUUUCUUUUUAUCAAAAUUCAUUUUUCUCGUUGUUCUUGAAAUAAAAUAGAUUCUUUUUUAUGGUGCAAGCUCGACAAUAAAUGCGUCUUUUGAAUUCAACGAUCUAACAUAACUUUCAUGAAGGAAAUUUCAGCUUUUAAAGGACAACGAUGAGCGGCAGCGACGAUGAUGCGACACAAAUAUCUCGAGAGGUAAGCUUAUUUAUGAAAUAUGCCGCAAAUAUCGUCCAAUUUCAGGAUGAAGAGCUCGCUUACGAAAUCUAUUUUUGGAUUGUUCGCUGCAUUGUAAGUCGUUCACACAGACGAAAAAGAGCAUAUUUGAGUGAAUUUCAGUGUGAGAAAGGAGUUGUCAAGAUCAGCGAGCUUCGUAAAAUCUACCAGUCGACCGUCGUCAAGGAUAGAUCAGUUCAGUUCAGACCUCUGCCGGGAGUCUUGAAAGCUGUCAAUGAGAAUUUGCUGCAUUGGCAGGGAUGGAAU
rnacentral:sRNA from 1 species